AAGUGAUGCAAAAACAACUCAAUUUACUAAUAAACUUCCUUAUUAAAGAAACUUUAUAUAAAAGUAAACAUGUUCAUUAUAUUUUGCUGUGUGAAAUUGCUUAUGCGGGAAAGACCCAUUACAACCCGACCAUAGAGGAGACAACAGCUGAAGGCCACCAAUGGGUCUUCAAUGCAGCGAGAAGCUCCCACACCCGGAGGCG
rnacentral:lncRNA from 1 species